rnacentral:misc_RNA from 1 species
CCCUCCCCUAAAUCACUCCAAAAAAAACAAUCCCCAAUUCUACACAAGUGUUUCUACACUAACAAAGCAACAGCUCCUUAACGAAUUCCCAACUUUACACGAGCUCGUCUCCCGAGGUUAAAUGUUAUUACUUGGUAAGAUUCCGGACCUCGCCAAGUGUUUUGAAAACCCGCAACGCUCGCAAAGGUGCAUAGUGAGAAUAAUAAGUGAAGAGACAGACUUGUCCAAAACGCCCACCGCGAAGGUGCAUAGUGAGAAGAGUAAGUCAAGAGAUAGACUUGUUCAAAAAGAAACAGAAGAGAAUGCUUGGGGUUACACUCACGAAGGUGCAUAGUGAGAAGAGUAAGUCAAGAGACAGACUUGUUCAAAAAGAAACAAAAGAGAAUGCUUGGGGUUACACUCACGAAGGUGCAUAGUGAGAAGAGUAAGUCAAGAGACAGACUUGUUCAAAAAGAAACAAAAGAGAAUGCUUGGGGAGAUAGAAGUGUGAGAUAGUUCUCAAGCUAAGAAAGUUGUAAAAGCUAAGAACUAGCAAGUAAUCGUCCAGGAUUCCUCCACCAGGACUUGAAAUCGUCGAGGGAAAAAAAUCGGUUCCGAGGAAUCGUCGAUCCGGACUUGGAAUCGUCGAGAAAAGUUUACCGGGUCCGAGGAUUUGUCGACCAGGAGUGGAAAUCGUCGAGAAAAAUCUAUCGGGUCCGAGGAAUCGUCGACCAGGACGAGGAAUCGUCGACAGGGUCCGAGGAUUUGUCGAC